rnacentral:rRNA from 1 species
GUCGAACGCUGGCGGCAUGCCUAAUACAUGCAAGUCGAGCGAACAGAUGAAGUGCUUGCACUUCUGACGUUAGCGGCGAACGGGUGAGUAACACGUAAGGAAUCUACCUAUAAGCGGGGGAUAACAUUCGGAAACGGGUGCUAAUACCGCAUAAUAUCCUCUUCCGCAUGGAAGAAGAUUGAAAGACGGCUCUGCUGUCACUUAUAGAUGACCUUGCGGUGCAUUAGUUAGUUGGUGGGGUAAUGGCCUACCAAGACGAUGAUGCAUGGCCGACCUGAGAGGGUGAUCGGCCACAUUGGGACUGAGACACGGCCCAAACUCCUACGGGAGGCAGCAGUAGGGAAUCUUCCGCAAUGGCGAAAGCCUGACGGAGCAAUGCCGCGUGAGUGAAGAAGGCCUUCGGGUCGUAAAACUCUGUUAUAAGAGAAGAACAAAUUGUAGAGUAACUGCUACAGUCUUGACGGUAUCUUAUCAGAGAGCCACGGCUAACUACGUGCCAGCAGCCGCGGUAA